rnacentral:rRNA from 1 species
GACGAACGCUGGCGGCGUGCUUAACACAUGCAAGUCGAACGCUGAAGCUUGGUGCUUGCACUGGGUGGAUGAGUGGCGAACGGGUGAGUAAUACGUGAGUAACCUGCCCUUGACUCUGGGAUAAGCCUGGGAAACUGGGUCUAAUACUGGAUACGACAUGUCACCGCAUGGUGGUGUGUGGAAAGGGUUUUACUGGUUUUGGAUGGGCUCACGGCCUAUCAGCUUGUUGGUGGGGUAAUGGCGCACCAAGGCGACGACGGGUAGCCGGCCUGAGAGGGUGGCGGCCCACAGGGGGCCUGAGCCCCGCCCCGGCGCCCACGGGGGGGGACGGGGGGGAAUUAUGGCAGAGGGGGGGGAGGCGGGGUGCGACGGCCCGGGGGGGGGAAGGCGGCCCUCGGGUUGAAAACCCUCUGCAAGCGGAGAAAGAGCGAAGGGGAGGCUCGGUGCAGAAGAGGCCCCGGCUAACUCCGCG